CGACCUCAGAGCAGGUGAGAUUACC
rnacentral:rRNA from 1 species